CCUACGGGAGGCAGCAGUGAGGAAUAUUGGUCAAUGGACGAAAGUCUGAACCAGCCAUGUAGCGUGCAGGAUGACUGCCCUAUGAGUUGUAAACUGCUUUUGUAAGGGAGUAAAACGAGACACGCGUACCUGUUUGCAUGUACUGUAUGAAUAAGGAUCGGCUAACUCCGUGCCAGCAGCCGCGGUAAUACGGAGGAUCCAAGCGUUAUCCGGAUUUAUUGGGUUUAAAGGGAGCGUAGGUGGGUGGUUAAGUUAGAUGUGAAAGUCUGCGGCUCAACCUCGGAAUUGCAACUGAUACUGGUCGUCUUGAGUGCAGUUGCGGUAGGCGGAAUGUGUGGUGUAGCGGUGAAAUGCUUAGAGAUCACACAGAACUCCGAUUGCGAAGGCAGCAUACCGGCGCCCGACUGACGUUGAGGCACGAAAGCGUGGGGAGCGAACAGGAUUAGAUACCCUUGUAGUC
rnacentral:rRNA from 1 species